UACGUAGUGGGCAAGCGUUGUCCGGAUUCAUUGGGCGUAAAGAGCUCGUAGGCGGCUUGGCAAGUCGGGUGUGAAAACUCCAGGCUCAACCUGGAGACGCCACCCGAUACUGCCAUGGCUUGAGUCCGGUAGGGGACCACGGAAUUCCUGGUGUAGCGGUGAAAUGCGCAGAUAUCAGGAGGAACACCGGUGGCGAAGGCGGUGGUCUGGGCCGGUACUGACGCUGAGGAGCGAAAGCGUGGGGAGCAAACAGG
rnacentral:rRNA from 1 species